rnacentral:lncRNA from 1 species
CGGUUAGAUACCAGCUCAGCGGUUAGAUACCAGCUCAGCGGUUAGAUACCAGUUCAGAGGUUAGAUACCAGUUCAGAGGAUAGAUACCAGUUCAGCGGUUAGAUACCAGUUCAGAGGUUAGAUACCAGUUCAGAGGUUAGAUACCAGUUCAGAGGUUAGAUACCAGUUCAGAGGUUAGAUACCAGCUCAGAGGUUAGAUACCGGCUCAGAGGUUAGAUACCAGUUCAGAGGUUAGAUACCAGUUCAGAGGUUAGAUACCAGUUCAGAGGUUAGAUACCAGUUCAGAGGUUAGAUACCGGCUCAGCGGUUAGAUACCAGCUCAGAGGUUAGAUACCAGUUCAGAGGUUAGAUACCAGUUCAGAGGUUAGAUACCAGCUCAGCGGUUAGAUACCAGCUCAGCGGUUAGAUACCAGUUCAGAGGUUAGAUACCAGCUCAGAGGUUAGAUACCAGUUCAGCGGUUAGAUACCAGUUCAGAGGUUAGAUACCAGUUCAGAGGUUAGAUACCAGUUCAGCGGUUAGAUACCAGUAGAUACCAGUUCAGAGGUUAGAUACCAGUUCAGCGGUUAGACCACCUUCCUCUGAUCAAGACAUGAACUGUCUCACUGAUGGGUUUUUUACGCUCAACAGUUUCCCGUGUGUAUCAAGGACCCCCAUACAGGUAUUCGGACACGGCCAAUGUCUCCAUGAAGGGAUAAAAUAUGUUUGAUAUGUAUUGGUACAACCUAGUGGUCAUCAACAAUAUUACAGCCUCAGAGAGAU